rnacentral:rRNA from 1 species
GUCCUACGGGAGGCUGCAGUGGGGAAUAUUGGACAAUGGGCGCAAGCCUGAUCCAGCCAUGCCGCGUGAGUGACGAAGGCCUUAGGGUUGUAAAGCUCUUUUAGCAGGGACGAUAAUGACGGUACCUGCAGAAUAAGCUCCGGCUAACUUCGUGCCAGCAGCCGCGGUAAUACGAAGGGAGCUAGCGUUGUUCGGAAUUACUGGGCGUAAAGCGCACGUAGGCGGAUUGCUAAGUCAGGGGUGAAAUCCCGGGGCUCAACCUCUGAACUGCCUUUGAUACUGACAAUCUCGAGUCCGAUAGAGGUGGGUGGAAUUCCUAGUGUAGAGGUGAAAUUCGUAGAUAUUAGGAAGAACACCGGUGGCGAAGGCGGCCCACUGGAUCGGUACUGACGCUGAGGUGCGAAAGCGUGGGGAGCAAACAGGAUUAGAUACCCCAGUAGUC